rnacentral:rRNA from 1 species
AACGAACGCUGGCGGCAGGCUUAACACAUGCAAGUCGAGCGCGCCGCAAGGGCAGCGGCCGACGGGCGAGUAACGCGUGGGCACGUACCUUUUGGUUCGGAACAACUUCGGGAAACUGGAGCUAACACGGGAUAAGCCGUUACGGGGAAAGAUUUAUCGCCGAAAGAUCGGCCCGCGUCUGAUUAGCUAGUUGGAGAGGUAACGGCUCACCAAGGCGACGAUCAGUAGCUGGUCUGAGAGGAUGACCAGCCACACUGGGACUGAGACACGGCCCAGACUCCUACGGGAGGCAGCAGUGGGGAAUAUUGCACAAUGGGCGCAAGCCUGAUCCAGCCAUGCCGCGUGAGUGAUGAAGGCCUUAGGUUUGUAAAGCUCUUUUGUCCGGGAAGAUAAUGACUGUACCGGAAGAAUAAGCCCCGGCUAACUUCGUG